AGUUUCUUGGUUGUGUAAUUGGUAGAUAUUUAGUUUUCCAAGAAACUGCCAAACUAUUUGCUGGAGUGGCUAUACCAUUUUAUAUUCCCACCAGCCAU
rnacentral:pre_miRNA from 1 species